rnacentral:rRNA from 1 species
UGCCUAGGAAUCUGCCUGGUAGUGGGGGACAACGUUUCGAAAGGAACGCUAAUACCGCAUACGUCCUACGGGAGAAAGCAGGGACCUUCGGGCCUUGCGCUAUCAGAUGAGCCUAGGUCGGAUUAGCUAGUUGGUGAGGUAAUGGCUCACCAAGGCGACGAUCCGUAACUGGUCUGAGAGGAUGAUCAGUCACACUGGAACUGAGACACGGUCCAGACUCCUACGGGAGGCAGCAGC